UGAAAUGACGUGUAACGAUACCAGUUU
rnacentral:piRNA from 1 species